rnacentral:rRNA from 1 species
UUAAGCGAAUAAGCGUACACGGUGGAUGCCUAGGCAAUCAGAGGCGAUGAAGGACGUGCUAAUCUGCGAAAAGCGUCGGUAAGGUGAUAUGAACCGUUAUACCCGACGAUAUCCGAAUGGGGAAACCCAGUAUCCAAUGGAUACUAUCAUUAACUGAAUCCAUAGGUUAAUGAGGCGAACCGGGAGAACUGAAACAUCUCAGUACCCCGAGGAAAAGAAAUCAACCGAGAUUCCCCUAGUAGCGGCGAGCGAACGGGGAGC